rnacentral:piRNA from 1 species
UUGGUAUCUGCCCACUUCCCACGUGUC